GAGAGAGGGUGGACAGCACUGAUCUGAUGAUGACCUGAUGACUGAAUGAUGAUAGGUAUCAAGUUAAAAGCCCUAAAGAUUCUUGAGACAACUUGAUUAAACAGAUCUAUGAAAUAAGUAGCAUAUUAUACCUGUUCAUGGUUGAUAUGUCCAAUGCUAUUGACUGAUUCAUUUAAUAAGGUCUUUUUUGCUCUCAUUAUGUGGUUGGCACCGUUUUCUGUCGGAGUUUGCUGAAAGAUUCCAGAGGAGCUAAUGAACCUUAUCGAUUUAUGGCAAAUGAUUUUAAUUGGCCCAAGUCUGCUAUUUUUCAUGCUC